AGCAGCCGCGGUAAUUCCAGCUCCAAUAGCGUAUAUUAAAGUUGUUGCAGUUAAAAAGCUCGUAGUUGAAUUUCGGGGUUAGUAGGUUGGUCAUGCCACUGGUAUGUACUGAUCUUACUGAUUCCUCCUUCCUGAUGAACCGUAAUGCCAUUAAUUUGGUGUUGCGGGGAGACUGGACUGUUACUUUGAAAAAAUUAGAGUGUUUAAAGCAGGCUAACGCUUGAAUACAUUAGCAUGGAAUAAUGAAAUAGGACGUUCGAUCCUAUUUUGUUGGUUUCUAGGAUUGACGUAA
rnacentral:rRNA from 1 species